GAUGAACGCUGGCGGCGUGCCUAAUACAUGCAAGUCGAACGCUUUGUGGUUCAACUGAUUUGAAGAGCUUGCUCAGAUAUGACGAUGGACAUUGCAAAGAGUGGCGAACGGGUGAGUAACACGUGGGAAACCUACCUCUUAGCAGGGGAUAACAUUUGGAAACAGAUGCUAAUACCGUAUAACAAUGACAACCGCAUGGUUGUUAUUUAAAAGAUGGUUCUGCUAUCACUAAGAGAUGGUCCCGCGGUGCAUUAGCUAGUUGGUAAGGUAAUGGCUUACCAAGGCGAUGAUGCAUAGCCGAGUUGAGAGACUGAUCGGCCACAAUGGGACUGAGACACGGCCCAUACUCCUACGGGAGGCAGCAGUAGGGAAUCUUCCACAAUGGGCGAAAGCCUGAUGGAGCAACGCCGCGUGUGUGAUGAAGGGCUUCGGCUCGUAAAACACUGUUGUAAGAGAAGAAUGACAUUGAGAGUAACUAUUCAAUGUGUGACGGUAUCUUACCAGAAAGGAACGGCUAAAUACGUGCCAGCAGCCGCGGUAAUACGUAUGUUCCAAGCGUUAUCCGGAUUUAUUGGGCGUAAAGCGAGCGCAGACGGUUAUUUAAGUCUGAAGUGAAAGCCCUCAGCUCAACUGAGGAAUUGCUUUGGAAACUGGAUGACUUGAGUGCAGUAGAGGAAAGUGGAACUCCAUGUGUAGCGGUGAAAUGCGUAGAUAUAUGGAAGAACACCAGUGGCGAAGGCGGCUUUCUGGACUGUAACUGACGUUGAGGCUCGAAAGUGUGGGUAGCAAACAGGAUUAGAUACCCUGGUAGUCCACACCGUAAACGAUGAGUGCUAGGUGUUUGAGGGUUUCCGCCCUUAAGUGCCGCAGCUAACGCAUUAAGCACUCCGCCUGGGGAGUACGACCGCAAGGUUGAAACUCAAAGGAAUUGACGGGGACCCGCACAAGCGGUGGAGCAUGUGGUUUAAUUCGAAGCAACGCGAAGAACCUUACCAGGUCUUGACAUCCCUUGACAACUCCAGAGAUGGAGCGUUCCCUUCGGGGACAAGGUGACAGGUGGUGCAUGGUUGUCGUCAGCUCGUGUCGUGAGAUGUUGGGUUAAGUCCCGCAACGAGCGCAACCCUUAUUACUAGUUGCCAGCAUUUAGUUGGGCACUCUAGUGAGACUGCCGGUGACAAACCGGAGGAAGGUGGGGAUGACGUCAAAUCAUCAUGCCCCUUAUGACCUGGGCUACACACGUGCUACAAUGGCGUAUACAACGAGUUGCCAACCCGCGAGGGUGAGCUAAUCUCUUAAAGUACGUCUCAGUUCGGAUUGUAGGCUGCAACUCGCCUACAUGAAGUCGGAAUCGCUAGUAAUCGCGGAUCAGCACGCCGCGGUGAAUACGUUCCCGGGUCU
rnacentral:rRNA from 1 species